GUGCUGUGAGCUGGUUGGGCUAAGUAUCCAAGUGUCUGUCAGUCGGUCCGUGUGUGAUCGCUUCCUUCACUGGUGCUGGUUCAGGGACUGUUAGACCAUGUUUUUAGCUGUUGGAAAAGUAUUCAAUGGCAGGUGGGCUUUCAAAGACAGAUUGAAUUGUGCGCAAGACUUUGAACUGGACAAUUUCUUGUAGCCAGCAAAGACUAACAGAGGCAGCCAAUGGAACUGAGUUUGCAGCCAACGUGAGAGACUGCUUGGGAAACGGAGUGCAGAUCCGGUAAGUGUUGCUUUUGUGUGGCAGUGCCGUGAGCUGCCUGUGCUAAGUAUGCAACGUCUCUUUGGGUUUCUUCACUGGUGCUGGUGCAGAGACUGGUGUUUGAAUGCUAUGAACUGGCAGUCCUUCUUAGGAAGUGGCUGGUUGAAUUUGAGGUAAAGCUGCAAGCUGGUCACAUUGUUGGAGCCAGCAGCUAUUCUAACGGAGGCAGCUGAGAGAACUGAGUGAGCAGUGAACAUGAGUCAGCCUGGGAAACAUUGGAGAGGAACUCGGUAAGUCUGGCAUUUUGGAGGGCUGUGCCAUGAGCUGGUUGGGGUAAGUAUCCAAAUGUCUGUCAGUUGCCCGUGUGCAGUCACUUCCUUCACUGGUGCUGGUACAGGGACUAUUUGAUCAUGUGUUUAGCAGCUGGCAAAGUGUGUAACAGGAGUGCUUUGUUGCAGGUGGCCCUUUUAUAGCGGAGGCAUCUGGAAGGAACUGAGUCAUCAGCCAAUAUGAGAGCUGGCCCAGAAACAUUAGAGAGGAACUCGAGGACUAUGUUAUUAUGUGCAUGGCGUUUGAAAAGUGUGAAUUGAGAGGGCUUGGCUGCAGGUGGGGGCCUUCAGGGCUUGUAUGGUUUGGAGGCAAGACUUGGAACCAGCAGCCUUCUGACCAAGGCAGCCAGAGCGAACCGAGUGAGCCGCGAACAGGACAGCAGUCAACAGGGGAGUUUGCCUCGGAAGGGUCUCCGAGGAGCUGGGAUAAACCUUUGAUGGCUGAUCGGAAUGGAGGCAAGGCUUUGAGGUGGAUAUCCUUUUAGAGCAAGUAGCUUUUCAACAAAGGUAGCUGAA